rnacentral:rRNA from 1 species
GACGAACGCUGGCGGCGUGCUUAACACAUGCAAGUCGAACGGAAAGGCCCUGCUUUUGUGGGGUGCUCGAGUGGCGAACGGGUGAGUAACACGUGAGUAACCUGCCCCUGACUUUGGGAUAACUUCAGGAAACUGGGGCUAAUACCGGAUAGGAGCUCCUGCUGCAUGGUGGGGGUUGGAAAGUUUCGGCGGUUGGGGAUGGACUCGCGGCUUAUCAGCUUGUUGGUGGGGUAGUGGCUUACCAAGGCUUUGACGGGUAGCCGGCCUGAGAGGGUGACCGGCCACAUUGGGACUGAGAUACGGCCCAGACUCCUACGGGAGGCAGCAGUGGGGAAUAUUGCACAAUGGGCGGAAGCCUGAUGCAGCAACGCCGCGUGCGGGAUGACGGCCUUCGGGUUGUAAACCGCUUUCGCCUGUGACGAAGCGUGAGUGACGGUAAUGGGUAAAGAAGCACCGGCUAACUGCGUG